rnacentral:rRNA from 1 species
UACGUAGGGUGCAAGCGUUAAUCGGAAUUACUGGGCGUAAAGCGUGCGCAGGCGGUUUUGUAAGUCUGUCGUGAAAUCCCCGGGCUCAACCUGGGAACUGCAUUUGUGACUGCAUCGCUGGAGUACGGCAGAGGGGGAUGGAAUUCCGCGUGUAGCAGUGAAAUGCGUAGAUAUGCGGAGGAACACCGAUGGCGAAGGCAAUCCCUUGGGCCUGUACUGACGCUCAUGCACGAAAGCGUGGGGAGCAAACAGG